GCUCGGGUAGCUCAGUCUGUAGGGCACCAGACUCUUAAUCUGGCUGUUGCGGGUUCCAACCCCGCAUCGGGCU
rfam:Angiostrongylus cantonensis strain Taiwan genome assembly, scaffold: ACAC_scaffold0004494